UUGCGGCCACAUCACGUUGAAACACCGGUUCCCGUACGAUCACCGAAGUUAAGCAACGUCGAGCCUGAUCAGUAGCUAAAUGGGUGACCACUUGGAAAUACCAGGUGCUAUAA